rnacentral:rRNA from 1 species
UGGUGGAGUGAUUUGUCUGGUUAAUUCCGUUAACGAACGAGACCUCGACCUGCUAAAUAGUUAAGCGAAUUCUUCGGGAUUCGUGUAGACUUCUUAGAGGGACUUUAGAUGAGUAGUCUAAGGAAGUUCGAGGCAAUAACA